rnacentral:misc_RNA from 1 species
CUUCAAAAACUCGCCGACACUAAGCGAAGGAGAGAUUUACAGUAGUAGAUAUGGCUGGAAAGGGUGAAGGUCCAGCAAUCGGUAUUGAUCUUGGUACCACAUACUCUUGCGUUGGUGUUUGGCAGCAUGAUCGUGUUGAGAUCAUCGCUAAUGAUCAAGGUAACAGGACUACACCGUCUUAUGUUGGAUUCACCGACUCUGAGCGUCUCAUUGGUGAUGCUGCUAAGAAUCAGGUCGCUAUGAACCCUAUCAACACUGUAUUCGAUGCAAAAAGGUUGAUUGGUAGGAGAUUCAGUGAUGCCACAGUGCAGAGUGACAUCAAGCACUGGCCAUUUAAGGUCAUUGCUGGACCUGGUGAUAAGCCAAUGAUUGUUGUCAACUACAAGGGUGAGGAAAAGCAGUUUGCUGCUGAGGAGAUCUCUUCUAUGGUGCUCAUUAAGAUGAGAGAGAUUGCUGAAGCUUUCCUCGGUUCCACUGUCAAGAAUGCCGUGGUGACUGUGCCAGCCUACUUUAACGACUCUCAGCGUCAGGCCACUAAGGAUGCUGGUGUUAUUGCUGGUUUGAAUGUUAUGCGUAUUAUCAACGAGCCUACAGCAGCUGCCAUUGCUUAUGGUCUGGAUAAGAAGGCAACUAGUGUUGGUGAGAAGAAUGUGUUGAUCUUUGAUCUUGGUGGUGGUACCUUUGAUGUAUCGCUCCUCACCAUUGAGGAAGGUAUCUUUGAGGUGAAGGCUACUGCUGGAGACACUCAUCUCGGAGGUGAGGACUUUGACAACAGGAUGGUCAACCAUUUUGUUCAAGAAUUCAAGAGGAAGAACAAGAAGGAUAUCAGUGGUAACCCUAGGGCACUUAGAAGGUUGAGAACUGCUUGUGAGAGGGCGAAGAGGACCCUUUCAUCCACUGCUCAGACCACAAUUGAGAUUGAUUCUCUCUAUGAGGGCAUUGAUUUCUAUUCCACCAUCACCCGUGCUAGAUUUGAGGAGCUUAACAUGGAUCUGUUCAGAAAGUGUAUGGAACCAGUUGAAAAGUGUUUGAGAGAUGCUAAGAUG